GGGGCUAUAGCUCAGCGGGAGAGCACCUGCAUCGCACGCAGGGGGUCAGGGGUUCAAAUCCCCUUAGCUCCA
rnacentral:tRNA from 1 species